CACGUAGUUAGCCGGUGCUUAUUCUUACGGUACCGUCAUGACCCGGGGAUAUUAGCCCCAGGCUUUUCGUUCCGUACAAAAGCGGUUUACAACCCGAGGGCCUUCAUCCUGCACGCGGCAUUGCUGGAUCAGGCUUUCGCCCAUUGUCCAAAAUUCCCCACUGCUGCCUCCCGUAGGAGUCUGGGCCGUGUCUCAGUCCCAGUGUGGCUGGUCGUCCUCUCAGACCAGCUACAGAUCGCAGGCUUGGUAAGCCUUUACCCCACCAACUACCUAAUCUGCCAUCAGCCGCUCUAGUAGCACAAGGCCCGAAGGUCCCCUGCUUUCAUCCGUAGAUCUCAUGCGGUAUUAGCUACUCUUUCGAGUAGUUACUCCCCCAUACUAGGCACGUUCCGAUGUAUUACUCUACCCGUUCGCCACUCGUCAGCAUCCGAAGACCUGUUACCGUUCGACUUGCAUGUAGUAAAGCAUCGCCGCCAGCGUUACAAUCUGAGCCAGGACUACAAACUCUAC
rnacentral:rRNA from 1 species